AUUGAACGCUGGCGGCAGGCCUAACACAUGCAAGUCGAGCGAGCGGCGGACGGGUGAGUAAUUUCUGGGAAACUGCCUGAUAGAGGGGGAUAACUACUGGACACGGUAGCUAAUACCGCAUACCAUCAGAUGUGCCCAGCGGGGAUUAGCUAGUAGGUGGGGGAAUGGCUCACCUAGGCGACGAUCCCUAGCUGGUCUGAGAGGAUGACCAGCAAAACUGGAACUGAGACACGGUCCAGACUCCUACGGGAGGCAGCAGUGGGGAAUAUUGCACAAUGGGCGCAAGCCUGAUGCAGCCAUGCCGCGUGUGUGAAGAAGGCCUUCGGGUUGUAAAGCACUUUCAGCGGGGAGGCGUUACCCGCAGAAGAAGCACCGGCUAACUCCGUGCCAGCAGCCGCGGUAAUAC
rnacentral:rRNA from 1 species